rnacentral:tRNA from 1 species
GGCAAUAUGGCCUAGUGGAUAGUGCAUUGGAUUGGGACUCAGGAUGCCUGAGUUCUACUCUGAGUUUUGCUA